CUCGAGGUUAGCUCUUCACUGCCCUGUGUCUUCUUUCCAAGGGUCUCGGUGAUUCGGCCACAGCCUCAGCCUCCAUCACGCGGUGAACUGAUGGUGCUGGAAGAUUCAUAGACUCCAGGACAUUCCUGAAGCCGAGAAAAGGUUAAGUAGGGUCUGGCCUGGAAUACUCUCCUAGAUGAAGAUAGCCCAACCAUGAGCCACCUUCGAAGCAGAUGAGAUGAAAUUAAAGCUCUUCAACUCCUAAAGGCCCAGAGACUAUCACAAAAGAGGUGGGCAUGUGAGAUUGUAAGAACUGAUUUUGAGAGAUAAAAUAAGUUCAGUUUUUCUAUACAUUAAUCAUUAAUGUCAAAGGCACACUAAUGCAAGACCAGAAUAGGGGCCCCAGUGUUAGAUUAACAAGGUUUUCUUGAAGCAUUAACUGACUCCUUAAUAAAGGCUUAUAGAAGUUAUAUCUCAUGGUCAAGAUUAGAAUUUUAUAGAUUGUUCAUAACAUUUUGAAAAACAAAUUUAAUUGGCUUUAUGCUGUUUUAUUGAAGAUUAUUGUUUGGAAAAUUAAGUCUUGUCUCCCAAAGAAUGAAGGUUUUUUCUUUUUUUGUUUUUGAAAUCUUUAUUACUUUGGUCAAAUUAAUGACUUAUUUUACAAUGACCUGUGACAUCAGGUGUUUUAAAUCUUUGAUAUUUGACUGAGAUUCUUUCUGUGGAACAAAGUUCCAUCAAACUUUCCAAAAUCAAAUUAUAAAUUAUGUAUUUUUCUUACCUAAUCCUUUAAAAUAUUAUGUUCCCUAAAGUUUAAAAAUGACAUAAUUUUGCUUAUUUCUUAUAAAAAUUAUACAGAGAACGUUGUUGAAUAUGAAAUGGUGUUUGGUUUUUUUGGGCUGUGUUUGUAUAAGUAUAUUAUUGGUAUUUGUUCUAAAAUUAUGGGAAACUCCUAUAAUUCUUAUAUGACUUAGUGUACAUUAUUAGCAGUAAUUAUAAUUGCUAUAUUGCCACAGAGGUAACAAAUUUCCUUGUCAAUUGUAUCUUUGACUUUGGUUGCCUUAAAACUUUUUGUCAUUCACAGACAAUUGUAUUGUUUUGGUCCUCUUUAGAAGGUGGUUUUAUAAUCAGCUAUAAAACUCUUAACAGGUGGUCUUGAAUGCAAGUUUCUGAUAACUUUGGAGAUGGUGACAUCAGAGUAGAGGAAAAAAAUUCAGAACUCAUGGAGAGCUGAAAUGUUCAUGAAUAUUAAGCAGAACAAGGAUUAAGUGCAUGCAUUGAACUAUUAGAAGACUGAAGUAAUCUUUUUUUCUUUUUUUGAGUCGGGGUUUCACUCGGUCUUCCAGGCUGGAGUCCAGUGGUGUGAUCUCAGCUGAAUUACAGAUGCAUGCCACCACACCUGGCUAAGUUUUGUAUUUUUAGUAGAGACGGGGUUUCACCAUGUUGGUCAGGCUGGUCCAAACUCCUGACCUCAUGAUCUGCCUGCUUGGCCUCCCAAAGUGUUGGGAUUAUAGGCGUGAGCCACCGAGACCAGCUGAUCUUUUUGACUUUUUACUUAAAAUGUUGCUGAUCCUUUCUUUUGUUUUCUGAGUCAAGGAAACCUACCUUUUGAUCUAUUUACAGCUUUUAACAAGUUAGUAUACUCCUGUGAACAAAAUUUAAAGCAUAUUUAAUUCUCUCUACUUGAUUUCUCUAGAAUUUGGAAACUAUUUGUGAGUAUUCUUAACUUAUGGCAAUACAUUUAUUUGCAUAAGUGCAUUAAGAAUGUUUUUUUUUGUUUGUUUUGUUGUGUUAUUUAUUUAUUUUUUGAGACAGAGUCUCACUCUGUUGCCAGGCUAGAGUGUGGUGGCCCGAUCUUGGCUCACUGCAACCUCUGCCUCCUGGGUUCAAGCAAUCCUCCUGCCUUGGCCUCCCAGGUAGCUGGGACUACAGGCGAGCGCCACCAUGCCCAGCUGAUUUUUUAUAUUUUUAGUAGAGAUAGGGUUUCACCAUGCUGGCCACUAUGGUCUUGAUCUCUUGACCUCAUGAUUCACCCAUCUUGACCUCCCAAAGUGCUGUGAUUACAGGCAUGAGCCACCACGCCCUGCCAAGAAUCUGGUUUUUAUAAGUAACAGGACACAAUUGGAGAAACUGGUUAUUUUACCAACACUUUGACUGGAAUGGUGUUCCUUUUUUAAGGAAUCAAACUUGAUUUAUGGAGCCAAUUAAAAGCCCCUCGGGAAAACUGGAUUCAAAUCUUGUCUACAUAUUCCCUGUACUAUGACAUUUUUACUUACCACAGGUCAGAAAUCCUGAAGGUCACUUUCUGACAAACUCAGGAACCCCAGGUUUAUCUUGGAGCCUCAAGAGGAGAUAAAUUCACCCAACUCAGGUAUUUGAUGGUACAAAUCCAUGUCUGGGGUUGGCUUUUAAAAAGUAUUAUCUGAGAUUCCUUCUGUGGAACAAAGUUCCAUCGGGGAAAAAUUGUGCAAAUGUAAUAAAUUUGGAAAAACACUUUUUCAAAAACUACAGCUUAGAAAACAACAGAGAGUUCAUACUGGAGUAUGCUUUUGCAGAUGCAGUACAUGUAAAAAAAUAUUUAAUCCAUAAUUAAGUCUAUGCAAAUAUCAGAAUUUAUGGUAGAAAUAUAUAAGGCACUGACACACUUCACGUAUUCUAAAUCAGUGCUGAGUAUAGGAAAUCUAAAACUAAAGUUGGCAGAAAAAUUAUUUGUAUGUAACUUUCAGAGGAUCAGAAGGUUUUUUGCAGAAUUAUAAUUACAUUCAAAGUAUAUUUCUUGAAAAAAAUACAGAUUUUUUGAAAAGUGAAUAAUGAUGUCAUUCAACUCUGAAAUUAUUUCCUGCUGUUUCUUCAUUCCUAUUGGAGUCAAAUGUGAAAGCAUAGGAUCAAUUGUUGCUGCGUCAAAGAUGUGAGAGAUUCUUUUUGUUUUGUUUUGUUUUCUGUUUUUUUGAGAUGGAAUUUCGCUCUUUUGCCCAGGCUGGAGUGCAGUGGAAUGAUCUUGGCUCACUUCCGUCUCCGCCUUCCAGUUUCAAGUGAUUCUCCUGCCUCAGCCUACUGAGUAGUUGGGAUUACAGGUGCCUGCCACCACACCCAGCUAAUUUUUGUAUUUUUAGUAAAGAUGGGGUUUCACCAUGUUGGCCAGGCUGGUCUCAAACUCCUGACGUCAUGAUCUGCCCGCUUCAGUCUCCCAAAGUGUGAUUACAGGUGUGAGCCACCAUGCCUGGCAAGGCAUUCUUUUUUAUUAGGGGGGUGUUGUUUAUUACCUCUUCUAUAGAAAAGUAAAGACAUUAAAAUGUAAGAUGCAUAAUAAAAAUCUAAGUGGAGAGGCUCUUAUAACCUAUAAUAUUGAGUGAUGCAUCAGGUAGGUGUUCAGAGUAAUCUGCAUUAUCAUGAGAAGAAAACAUGUUUAAUUUUAUUUAAAAUUAAAUGAGUAGUAUAUUAUUGUACUAAUUGUACUAAUUUUUUCUGAGACAGAGUUUUGCUCUUGGUGCCCAGGCUGGAGUGCAUUGGCACGAUCUCUGGCUCACUGUGACCUCUGCCUCCCAGAUUCAAGUGAUUCUCCUGCCUCAGCCUCCUGAGUAGCUGGGAUUACGGGCAUGUGCCCCCAUGCCUGGCUAAUUUUGAAUUUUUAGUAGAAACAGGGUUUCUCCAUGUUGGUCAGGCUGGUCUUGAACUGCCAACCUCAGGUGAUCUGCCCACUUUGGCCUCCCAAAGUGCUGGGAUUACAGGCAUGAGCCACCGAGCCUGGCCUGAUUGUACUUUUAUAUAAUAAAAUGCAGUACAUUUAUAAAUUUUAGAUUAUGUGUGAAGUUAAUAGUUUAAUUCAACAUUUUUAACAUGUUAAAUACUAUUGUGCAUUCAAUGAAGCGUUAUUAUGCCACAAACUUUAACCUCUUUCACCUUACUCAAGGGUAUAGGUAAAAGAUGGUAACAAUAUACUGUUUAGUAAGAUAAUAGAUUAACAUCUCUAGUGAUUUUUUUUUUUUGCCAGUGGCUUUCAACUGCAAAUAAGUUAAAGAAUAUUGUUUCUGUAGGUAAAUUUUUAUUCUGUUUUUAAUCAUUUAAAUUUAUUUUAAUUUUGGUGGCUGCAUGAGUAUCUAUGCAAUAUAUGGCAUGUUUUAAUACAGGAAUACAAUAUAUAAUAAUAAUAUCAGCAUUAAGUGAGGCAUCCUUCACCUGUAGCAUUUAUCCUAUGUUUUAUAAUCCAAUUCUACACUUUUUUUUAAAUUUAAAAUGUACAAUUAAAUUGUUAUUUACUACAGGGUUAUUUUUAUGGUCAUAAUAAAAAUUAUAUAUGAGUAUAAAUAAAAUUCAUUGUUAAAUUCUUAAUAUUUUUUCAAAUUUCUUAUAUAUUUUUCUUGGAACAUGUGGCCUGUCUGCCUGCAAACACAUAAGACUUUUAGUUUUGAUUUACAUAGAGUUAAAUAUUUAUUAAUCUAAAGACAAACCUUAGGUGUAAGAAAAUUAUGGAGUAAGUGUGUUGGGAGUUUGAGACCAGCCAGACCAACGUGGAUUAACCCCGUCUCUACUAAAAACACAAAAUUAGCCGGGCGUGGUGGCAUAUGCCUGUAAUCCCAGCUACUUGGGAGGCUAAGCCAGGAGAAUCGCUUGAGCAUGGGAGGCGGAGGCGGAGGUUGCAGUGAGCCGAGAUCACGCCAUUGCACUCCAGCCUGGGCAGCAAGAGUGAAACUCUGUCUC
rnacentral:lncRNA from 1 species